CCUACCCUGGGAGCCACACCGGCAGGAGGAGGGAGGAGCCAGGAAAUCCGGGCAGGGUGGCGCCCACCCCCAGCCCCGGGCCAGGCGCCGGAGGGGGCGCCGGCUGCCCCAGAAACACGCUCCAGAUGCGAGAGGCGCUGCCAGCAUUCCUGGAAGGAGGUGGUCUCAUGAAGAAGUUAAAGGCAUGGCUUCUGGAGUCAACUCUAUCUACUACUUGCUGGCUGUGUGACCUUUGACACGAUACAGCUGCCCUCCUGCCGGUCUGCAUCCAUCCAUGACACACGCGGUUCUCGCCGGCCUGGGAAGCUGCCAGAAUCAAUGUGAGCAAGGUUCCUACUCAGGUGGCUUAGUGCUGAAGAAUCCACCUGCAAUGCAGGAGAUGUAGGUUCGAUCCCUGGGUCAAGAAGAUCCCCUGGAGGAAGAAAUGGCAACCCGCCCCAGUAUUCUUGCCCAGAGAAUCCCAAGGACAGAGGAGCCUAGUGGGUUACAGUCCACCGGGUUGCAGAGCUGGACGCGACUGAGCGACUGAGCAGGCACAAGGUUCCUACGCAGUCAGGGGAGGGGCUGCUCACACUGGACAUCUGGCAUCUCCAUGACAACCCCAGACACAGGCGCCGUGGUUAGGCCUGUUCUGUAUGUGAGGACAUGGAGGCUCAGAGGCAGGACUACCUCGCCUGGGUCACAGUGCUGGUUUGCGGCAGGGGAGGACUCGGUCCCAGGCUUGGGUGACCUUAAAGCCUGGGCAUUAACUGCACUGACUCAGCACUCCCAGAAGCUUCCAGCCCGAGAGCUUCGCCCUCUCCAUCCUGGCCAUCCUGCAUGUUGCUGCCCAAGAACGAUGCUCAUGAGCCUCCCCUGCUCAGCCACCUUCAGAGGCUCCCCAGCACCCACAGAAAAAAACCACAAACCCCCUGUACAGGCCUCUCCAUCUCUGACUUCCGACAUCACGCCUGCAGUCCAUUCACUCGUCACAAGCUGAGUGCUGGGGUCCGUAGAGCCUGGAUUACACACCCGCCCCAGCAGGCCAGCUGUCCCCGCCGCAGGGCCUCUGUGAGCUGCCCCUCUGUCUGGAAGCUGUUCUCCCCCCACGCCCCACGACAUACGUGACCCCCCUCCUGGGAGAGGCCAGCCUGUUCGCUCCAGGCAGCGGUCCUCACCCCCACCCCACCCCAGUGUCUUCUCUACCACACACUUCUCACUACUGGCAGGGCAUUCCUGUGGCAUCGAUUUAUGUUUAAUGUUUGAGGCCUCCGAUUGGACAGUGAGGGCAGGGCCUUGCCUGUCUUGCUUCCUGCUGCACCCCCGUGCCGGCACACGGCCGGCAUGCAGGACAUGCUGAGUGAGUUAGUGAACGAGUUCCCUUCUCCCAGGGCUCCUCACAGAGCCAGCAUGUAUCCGGAGUCCUGACUGGCCUGAAAUAACCCCCCUGCUAUGUUCUCUGCCUACGCUUAUCCUCCACGACUCUGAGUUUCCUUCAAGUUGGCCCAACAACCCCCGACUCUGCCCCAACCUGCAAGUUCUCCUCCAGGACAGGAUGCUGUCCGGAGGCUCCUCAGUCGUGUAGACAUCCCCAAACUUGCCUGUGUGGUUCCUGCCACCUCAGUCACCCUUUCCGGCCACUUGCACAUCCCACAAGAGCCCUUCAAGUAUUCCCUCCCUUGCAAGGUAGAGCUGAUCACAUCCCCUUUGACACUUCUGUCCUGUGGACCCACACCCACUCUGAGGGCCUCAUGCAUUUGCCUUCACUGAUCAUGAUGAGGCUGCAUGCAUACAGCAGGUGCUCACUACACCAUUAGAGCAUAACCCACCAUCUCUUCUCAUCCUUCACAACACACAGGCCCCCCUGACUGGACAGGAAUGCCCUGAUGGCAGGGGCUCUUCUGUUCAUUGCUACAUCCUCAGUACAAAAUCCGAUGCCUGUCAAUGGAUGGAUGGACCGAGGCACAGAUGGAUGAUCAGGUGGAUGCAUGGAUGGAUGAAAGGAAGGAAAAAUGGAUGGAUGGACUGGCGGAGGGAUGCCCAGAAGGAAAACAAGAUAAAUUUUAGGAUGGAUGAAUGCCAUGAGGAACCAGGUAAGAGAGAGCUAUGAAGGGAUGGAAGAAGGAAAGGCAGGUGGAUGGAUGGACAGAUGGGUGACAGAUGCAUGUGUGGACAAUGGAAAGAAAAUAAGCGGAUGGAUGGAUGGAUGGAAGGACAGACGGAAGGAAGGAUGGAAGGCAGGCAGGCCAGAUGCAUACACACAUGCAGUGGAUGAAAGGACAGAGAAGACAGAUGCACGGAGGAGGGCUGGGCAGGCAGACAAGUGGAUGAGGAGGACGACCGCUAUUCGGGCCACUGAUUUCUUAUGGGUAACCUCAGUGUUCUGACCAGAUGAAGACACUCCCUCAAAGGAGUCUUCCCAUCCUCACCAACAAGUGCUACCACUGCUCUGAGUGAACGGGGGGGUCGGGGGGGGGGUUUCUCCUUAGUUCUCCAGCUACACACACACAACACACACACACACCCACCCCAGGAGCACCUCAAGCAGCCUGCAGACUGUGUGGAGAGGCUGCCAUCCUAGCAGUGGACACUCAUGGCCCCUUACUCCCUAACUGGCCCUGUGCCAAGCCCUUCCCUGGAUACCUCACCCCACCUGGGCCCCACAAUGCCCAGGCAGCAGGCGGCUCACUAACUUUAUCAACAGGGAAACAGGUCCAAAGAGGCUAGAUUGCUACCCACGGUCACACAGUUGCAGGAGACUGAGCCAGGGGUCGAACCCAGAGCCUGAACUCUCAGCUACCCUGCUGCCAGCAGGCCCCAGCCGUGGCCAUCACGUUCCACCUCCUACUUUAUGGCAUUUUCACUCUCUCUGUCCUUCCUCUUAAAUCUACUUAGUAUUUCUUACUUCAUAAUCUCCCUUAAGUCAACUCAUUUUUUUAAGCUUAAAUAUAUAUUAAAAUAUACAUGACUACCCUAAAAGGAAAAUCAGUAUUAAGCAACAUAAGUGGAAAAUAACCCUAAAAAUACAAACUGUGAAAAUGACGCAAUGCUAUUCAAUUUUAGCCAAAUAAGAUUCCCAAUGAAGGCUCAGGACCCAAGGCCUAUUCUCUAUUAAAAAUGGAGAUCAGCGAGUGUGGUGGUUUAAAAACAUAUCCACGGAUUCUUUGACACGACUCCCCUGAAGAGGUAGAGCCCUUGAGUGUGGGCCAGACAGGGAUUUGCGUCCCGUGAAGGGAACAGGGCAGGAGUGACCGUGCGUGGCUUCCGAGACCAGGUCAUCUGAGGCGCUGAGGCUCCCCGUGGUUCUUUCUUGGGUCACUGACUCUGGGCAAAGCCAGCUGCUCUAGGGAGACACCCACACGGCAAGGAGCUGAGGCUCCACUCAAGAGCUGCAUGAGGUGCCAUCUUGGAGCUGACGGCCCAGCCCCAGUCAAACCUUGUUUUCUGCUACAACAUUUGGGGGUAUUCUGUUACACAGCAGUAGGUAAGUUGUAUAGCAACCAAUAGGGGGCCACUGAGGAGAGCCCGAGACUCUACAUGAAGCAGUCAGAAUGAUCAAAGGCCAACUGAAAGGGGGACCAGUGGACCCUGAUGGGACUCAACGUAUUCUUUGAUGCCACGUCCAUGCCUGCCCUCUCCACUUUGCUCCCCAUCCAGCAGCCAGAGGGACGGGGGUUCCACCCAUCAGCUUACAUCUCCCUAGGGAACUGCCCCCAAAAUCCCCUUCCCACUUGGAACUCUCAGGGAUCGACGUCCUGUAGCCCCCCUGGCCUCUCGGACCUCCCCUGGGCUCUCCUUCCUCCCUACUCGCCCAUCAGCCAAGCCAACCACCUGCUGUACCUACAAAACCCCUCACACUUUCCCCAUCAGGACUUUUGCAGUGGCUGCUUUUCUGUUCGCUCUGCCAGGACCACUCCUUGCCUGAUCGGCCCCUCCUGCCAGUCAAGGCUUGGCCUCCCACCCGCUCCCAAGCAUGUCGGUCAAUUCCCAUACAGCCCCUGCUCACGGGCUCCCUCCAGGCUUCCCCACCUCCCCGGUGAUACCUGGUUGCAGAUUUAUCUGAUAGCACAGUGCAUACUUGUUCCCUACUUUCUUCUUGGUCAGGUCUGCCUGCAGAAGAUAAACUGGAUGGGGGAGGGUGUGGGGAGUGGAGGGAGGUCUGUCCUGUUCAGAGCUGGGUCUCCCGUACUCGGAACAUGCUCAGCAGACCUCCAUGGAAUGAAUGAUGGAGCUUCUGGAUCCCGCCAAGGACUGGGCAUCCGGGAAACCAGGGAGUCUGACUCAAACUAAGCUAUAAACUGGAACUGGAACAGCUCUCACUAAUCUGUAGAGCCUCCAGCUCAACUCAAAUAUAACAAUGUUCCACAGCUGCCAACCAGACCCAGGGUGCCUUUUUUUUUUAAAGUUUGGCUUCAGGAACCUCUCCUCUGUUCCUCAACCCCCCUCUUCCUCUGCUUCUCCCCUGGUCCCUCUCUCUGUAUCCACCCCUGUCUUCAGCACACAAUUUUCUGCUCCUUUGUUGUUCUCUCCACCGCAUCCAGGGACUUUGGCCCCUACACGGGAAACCUCUGUGUGUGCCCUGUGCAGCCCAGGCAGUGUCUCUGCCCCCAUAACAUCUUGAAUAUGGUACUGGAAGUGGGUAUGGAGUUUCAGUCUUGGGUGAUAAGAAAGUUCUGGAACUAGAUGGUGGUGAUGGUCACACAAAAGCACACACAUACUUAACGCCACUAGGCUGGACCCUCUAAGAUGGGUGUGAUGGUAAAUUUUACAUGAUGUUUACUUUUUUAUACAGUAAAGAACGGUAAGAAAAACGGUGCUGGCCCCACGUGGCUAUCAUCAAGCUUAGCAGUUUGAAGACUUUAUAAUUCAUAACACUGGUAGGUCUAAAGGCAUUUUUCUGUGUUUUCCUGAGGCAGAACACACGGGUGUGAUAGCUUUGAUGCCUGCCUGCCCAUAAACCAUCUUCUCCUUCAUACAACUAAUCAGUAAACGAACAAAAACAUCACUCUGGUAAAACCACCUAGAAAAUGAAAUUUCAAUAAGUUUCACAGCUUUGGGGAUCUGCAGCUUUAAAAUUUUUGUUUUCCUCUUUCAUACACAAAAAUUACACUAGAAAGAGAAGAGAAGUCACAGUAUUAAUGAAGCCCUGUGGUGGAUCCAGGCUUCUGUGCAGUGAAGGCCAGCCCAGGCAGGGGACCAGUGAGACAGAAAAUAAAUCAACAAAAACUUCCCCACCUACCAGGGUGCAUUUUCAACAGGAAUGACCCCCACCCAUCCUAUCCAUGAAGCGAACUGGGAUGCACUUUUUAAUUGGGCCACGCUUUCAGCUUCCUGGGCUAUUCCAGGAGGUGCCAAAAUCAUUAUAAUUCUCAAAUUAUUUGAUCUGACAGAGAUGCUGGUGCAUGGCCAUGGGAGAUGGGAAUGGGCUGUUUUGAAAAACAGAUACGAAGAUUUUUAA